GCGCUCACUUCAGCAGCACAUAUACUAAAAUUGGAAUGAUACAGAGAAGAUUAACAUGGUCCCUGGGCAAGGGUAAAGUGCAAAUUCGUGAAGUGUUCUGUAUUUUU
ensembl:snRNA U6 U6 spliceosomal RNA